rnacentral:rRNA from 1 species
UACGAAGGGGGCUAGCGUUGCUCGGAAUCACUGGGCGUAAAGGGUGCGUAGGCGGGUUCUUAAGUCAGGGGUGAAAUCCUGGAGCUCAACUCCAGAACUGCCUUUGAUACUGAGAGUCUUGAGUUCGGGAGAGGUGAGUGGAACUGCGAGUGUAGAGGUGAAAUUCGUAGAUAUUCGCAAGAACACCAGUGGCGAAGGCGGCUCACUGGCCCGAUACUGACGCUGAAGCACGAAAGCGUGGGGAGCAAACAGG